rnacentral:rRNA from 1 species
AUUGAACGCUGGCGGCAUGCUUUACACAUGCAAGUCGAACGGCAGCACGGGGGCAACCCUGGUGGCGAGUGGCGAACGGGUGAGUAAUGCAUCGGAACAUACCCAGUCGUGGGGGAUAACGUAGCGAAAGUUGCGCUAAUACCGCAUACGUCCUGAGGGAGAAAGCGGGGGAUCGCAAGACCUUGCGCGAAUGGAACGGCCGAUGUCAGAUUAGCUAGUUGGUGGGGUAAAGGCCUACCAAGGCGACGAUCUGUAGCGGGUCUGAGAGGAUGAUCCGCCACACUGGGACUGAGACACGGCCCAGACUCCUACGGGAGGCAGCAGUGGGGAAUUUUGGACAAUGGGCGGAAGCCUGAUCCAGCCAUGCCGCGUGAGUGAAGAAGGCCUCGG